UCUAAUUGAAGUCAGUCAACUGGGAAGAAUUUCUAAUGUACUUUUAAGUGGCUUUUAUUUAAAUAAUAAAUCCCAACAGCGUGGAAAUAAUUACUGGACUUUGAAAUCACUGCUUACACGUUUAAGCUGUUUUACAGAAAUGUGCUCUCAGUUCAAAGAGGAAGUCACAUCAUUUAUUUUUCGCAGAAGUUGUCUUUGUACAUUUUAUACACUCAGACAAAAAGUCCCCAUGUUUCCUCUUUCGGAGAACAAUGAAGGUACUUCUGCAGUGCAAGAGAUCAACGUUCAACUGAAGUGAUCUCCAGCAAAAAAAGAAAAGCAACAGAACGCACCAAAUGGUUCCAUGGCAACCCCAGGUCAUAUGAACAUUUCUUAAUGGCAGGAGAAAGUGAAGACUGCAGAUGCUGGAGUGUCAGAGUCAAAAAGUGUGGUGCUGGAAAAGCACAGCAGGUCAGGGAGCAUCCGAGGAGCAGGAGAGUGUUCAUUUCUUAAUUUCAUACUCCACAAUCACCUGAUGAAGGAGCAGCGCUCAGAAAGCUAGUGCUUCCAAUUAAACCUGUUGGACUAUAA